rnacentral:lncRNA from 1 species
GGCCCUUUUUUCCCACCACCGGAGGCAGGUAAGCUAGCUCCACCAGCCACGGCUUCCUUGCCUGGCUUCUCACCGGGCCCGAGGACCGAGAGAGCCAGAGUAAAAGACUUCAACACUUCUUCAAAGAGAACUCCAGCCCUCUCCACCUGCUCGUUAGCCGGAUUCAUCGGUGAAACCAGAGCUCUUAGCUGGCUUGUGAGCUCCCGCCCCCGGCUGAGCUCCUCUAUCGCCAUCGAAUGGUUGAGGGUGGGCAAUUUUUCUGCCUCAGGGUUUAACAUCUUGUUUACCUUCAAGUCCAAAUGACCAUCGAGCAAAUCAAAUGGCUUCGUUCUUAGAUCUCUAAUUUUUUGUGGCUGUCUGGAUAUAUAUAGACUUUAAGUGGAAGAGCUAGGGAAAGGAGUUCCAAGAGAUGCACAUUUAGUUAGCACGUUCGCAAGAUAGGUGGGACAAUUAUUUAAAUGAGGGUUUGUUUGUUUGCAAUGAGUUGGAAUGAGCAAGUCCAAAUUUCUUAUAAACAUGAUGGUAGGUAAAAAAAAUACCUAAAAGAGAAGGAACAGCCCGUCAUUUCAUUUCAUGAGAUUAUAAAAAUGAAAAGCAAUACAAAAACAAUACAAAACAAGAACAAAUAGGGACCUUGAAUAAUUUCCCCGACACCUUCUUUUU